GGUGGUCGGCCCACCGAAGUCUGCUGUCGGGAGCUGGCUUCAAACCCCCUCAAGCGGCUGCCGUAAAGAGCGGUGGUUGUGAGCGUUGAGGUCAAAGCAUGAACAAAAAGUUCAGCAGGU
rnacentral:ncRNA from 1 species